AUUGAACGCUGGCGGCAGGCCUAACACAUGCAAGUCGAGCGGAUGAAGGGAGCUCGCUCCUGUAUUCAGCGGCGGACGGGUGAGUAAUGCCUAGGAAACUGCCUGCUAGUGUGGGAUAACGUACGGAAACGGGCGCUAAUACCGCAUAAGUCCUGAGGGUGAACGUGGGGGAUCUUCGGACCUCACGCUAUCAGAUGAGCCUAGGUCGGAUUAGCUAGUUGGUGGGGUAAAGGCCUACUAAGGCGACGAUCCGUAUCUGGUCUGAGAGGAUGAUCAGUCACACUGGAACUGAGACAGGGUCCAGACUCCUACGGGAGGCAGCAGUGGGGAAUAUUGGACAAUGGGCGAAAGCCUGAUACAGCCAGGGCGCGUGUGUGAAGAAGGUCUUCGGAUUGUAAAGAACUUUAAGUUGGGAGGAAGGGCAGUAAGUUAAUACCUUGCUGUUUUGACGUUACCAACAGAAUAAGCCCCGGCUAACUUCGUG
rnacentral:rRNA from 1 species